CCGGCGAUGUCCGAAUGGGGAAACCCAGUGCAAUUCGUUGCACUAUCGUUAACUGAAUACAUAGGUUAACGAGGCGAACCGGGGGGAACUGAAACAUCUAAGUACCCCGAGGAAAAGAAAUCAACCGAGAUUCCCCCAGUAGCGGCGAGCGAACGGGGGAGCAGCCCAGAGUCUGAAUCAGCUUGUGUGUUAGUGGAACGGUCUGGAAAGUCCGACGGUACAGGGUGAUAGUCCCGUACACCAAAAUGCACAGGCUGUGAACUCGAAGAGUAGGGCGGGACACGUGGUAUCCUGUCUGAAUAUGGGGG
rnacentral:rRNA from 1 species